rfam:Lupinus angustifolius cultivar Tanjil contig_15087, whole genome shotgun sequence.
GGGCUGUGAUGAGUCAGAGAUAGUCAUGCACCACUCUGAUUUUUAGUGCUGAUAAUUUUCUCAUACCCAUUUUAUCUGAGCCC